rnacentral:rRNA from 1 species
UGAGUAACACGUGAGCAACCUACCUUUCAGUGGGGGACAACAUUUGGAAACGAAUGCUAAUACCGCAUAAGACCACAGUGUCGCAUGGCACAGGGGUCAAAGGAUUUAUCCGCUGAAAGAUGGGCUCGCGUCCGAUUAGCUAGAUGGUGAGGUAACGGCCCACCAUGGCGACGAUCGGUAGCCGGACUGAGAGGUUGAACGGCCACAUUGGGACUGAGACACGGCCCAGACUCCUACGGGAGGCAGCAUG